rnacentral:rRNA from 1 species
AUUGAACGCUGGCGGCAUGCCUUACACAUGCAAGUCGAACGGCAGCACGGGAGCAAUCCUGGUGGCGAGUGGCGAACGGGUGAGUAAUAUAUCGGAACGUGCCCAGUAGUGGGGGAUAGCCCGGCGAAAGCCGGAUUAAUACCGCAUACGACCUGAGGGUGAAAGCGGGGGAAUCGCAAGACCUCGCGCUAUUGGAGCGGCCGAUAUCAGAUUAGGUAGUUGGUAGGGUAAAGGCCUACCAAGCCAACGAUCUGUAGCUGGUCUGAGAGGAUGAUCAGCCACACUGGAACUGAGACACGGUCCAGACUCCUACGGGAGGCAGCAGUGGGGAAUAUUGGACAAUGGGCGCAAGCCUGAUCCAGCAAUGCCGCGUGCAGGACGAAGGCCUUGGGUUGUAAACUGCUUUGUACAGAACGAAAAGGCUCUGGUUAAUACCUGGGCUCAUGACGGUACUGUAAGAAUAAGCACCGGCUAACUACGUG